rnacentral:ncRNA from 1 species
CAGAUAGAGGUGCGGUUCACAUCAGUACGCCUGCCAUCCGGAACGGGUAUUCCGGCAGGGGGAAAGGGUUCGCCGCCGAAGUGUCCUGAGCCGCCCGGGCUUGGGAUGCUGGGUCGUCAGAGAAGAUCUGCCGGACUGUCACAAGUAUCUUGUGAAGCGCUAUCA